rnacentral:tRNA from 1 species
UAAUGAGCUUGAAUAGCAAUUGUUUUGAAAACAAUAGAUAAAGAUUCACUUUCUUUAUUAACUUUACUAA